rnacentral:rRNA from 1 species
CUACCCUUGGUCAGGUUGAAGUUCAGGUAACACUGAAUGGAGGACCGAACCGACUUACGUUGAAAAGUGAGCGGAUGAACUGAGGGUAGCGGAGAAAUUCCAAUCGAACCUGGAGAUAGCUGGUUCUCUCCGAAAUAGCUUUAGGGCUAGCCUCAAGUGAUGAUUAUUGGAGGUAGAGCACUGUUUGGACGAGGGGCCCCUCUCGGGUUACCGAAUUCAGACAAACUCCGAAUGCCAAUUAAUUUAACUUGGGAGUCAGAACAUGGGUGAUAAGGUCCGUGUUCGAAAGGGAAACAGCCCAGACCACCAGCUAAGGUCCCAAAAUAUAUGUUAAGUGGAAAAGGAUGUGGCGUUGCCCAGACAACUAGGAUGUUGGCUUAGAAGCAGCCAUCAUUUAAAGAGUGCGUAAUAGCUCACUAGUCGAGUGACACUGCGCCGAAAAUGUACCGGGGCUAAACAUAUUACCGAAGCUGUGGAUUGUCCUUUGGACAAUGGUAGGAGAGCGUUCUAAGGGCGUUGAAGCAUG